rnacentral:ncRNA from 1 species
AUGCCGAAGGCAGGGCUAGUGACUGAAGUGAAAUCGUAACAAGGUAGCCGUAUUGGAAGGUGCAGUUAGAUCACCUCCUUU